rnacentral:rRNA from 1 species
UACGUAGGGGGCAAGCGUUGUCCGGAUUUAUUGGGCGUAAAGAGCUCGUAGGCGGCCGCGCAAGUCGAUUGUGAAAACCCGAGGCUCAACCUCGGGCCUGCAGUCGAUACGGGCAAACUAGAGUACUGCAGGGGAGACUGGAAUUCCUGGUGUAGCGGUGAAAUGCGCAGAUAUCAGGAAAAACACCCGUGGCGAAGGCGGCUCUCUGGGACGGUACUGACGCUGAGACGCGAAAGCGUGGGGAGCGAACAGG